GAUCCUGGCUCAGAACGAACGCUGGCGGCGCGUUUAAGCAUGCAAGUCGAGCGGCAAGGGCCUUCGGGCCCUAGAGCGGCGGACGGGUGAGUAACACGUGGACAAUCUGCCCCCCGGUCGGGGAUAGCCCAUGGAAACAUGGGGUAAUACCGGAUGCGACCGGCCGCGCACAAGCGCGGGCGAGGAAAGGCGCCAAGGCGCCGCCGGGGGAUGAGUCCGCGGUCCAUUAGCUAGUUGGCGGGGUAACGGCCCACCAAGGCGACGAUGGAUAGCCGGCCUGAGAGGGCGAUCGGCCACACUGGGACUGAGACACGGCCCAGACUCCUACGGGAGGCAGCAGCUAAGAAUCUUCCGCAAUGGGCGAAAGCCUGACGGGAAGCGACGCCGCGUGAACGAAGAAGGCCGUGAGGUUGUAAAGUUCUUUUCGGGAGGGGGAACAACCGUGGCAGGGAAUGGCCGCGGGAUGACGUGAAUCCCGGAAUAAGCCCCGGCUAACUACGUGCCAGCCGCCGC
rnacentral:rRNA from 1 species